CUCCCCGUAGUACAAUGGAUAGUACGAGCGCCUCCUAAGCGCUAGAUUCAGGUUCGAUUCCUGACGGGGAGGCCA
rnacentral:tRNA from 1 species